GUCUUUUUGGUAUUUAAUAUAAAGUCUGACCUGCCCACUGAAUAUAGUUUAAAGGGCCGCAGUAUUUUGACUGUGCAAAGGUAGCAUAAUCAUUAGUCUUUUAAUUGAAGGCUGGUAUGAAUGGUUGGAUGAGAUACAAGCUGUGUCAUAAAAAUUAACAUUUGAAUUUAACUUUUUAGUCAAAAGGCUAAAAUUUAAUUAAAAGACGAGAAGACCCUAUAGAGCUUUAUAUACUUAUUAUUUAAAUUAUUUAGAUUUUUUAAGUUUAAUUAUUUUAGUAUAUUUUGUUGGGGUGACAAUAAAAUUUAUAAAACUUUUAUUUUUAUUUAACAUUAAUUUAUGAAUAAAUGAUCCAGUUUUAUUGAUUAUAAAUUUAAGUUACCUUAGGGAUAACAGCGUAAUUUUUUUUGAGAGUUCUUAUCGACAAAAAAGAUUGCGACCUCGAUGUUGGAUUAAGAGUAAUUUUGGGUGUAGAAGUUCAAAGUUUAAGUCUGUUCGACUUUUAAAUUCUUACAU
rnacentral:rRNA from 1 species